GAAUAUUGGUCAAUGGAUGGAAGUCUGAACCAGCCAUGCCGCGUGCAGGAAGAAGGCCUUCUGGGUUGUAAACUGCUUUUGCCGGGGGAUAAAAUUCCCAUGCGUGGGACAUUGAAGGUACCCGGUGAAUAAGCCACGGCUCACUACGUGCCAGCAGCCGCGGUAAUACGUAGGUGGCAAGCGUUGUCCGGAUUUAUUGGGUUUAAAGGGUGCGUAGGCUGCCUAUUAAGUCAGUGCUGAAAUAUCCCGGCUUAACCGGGAGGGUGGCAUUGAUACUGAUGGGCUUGAGUGGAUUCGAGGUAGGCGGAAUUGACGGUGUAGCGGUGAAAUGCUUAGAUAUCGUCAAGAACACCGAUAGUGUAGACAGCUUACUAGACUUCAACUGACGCUGAGGCACGAAAGUGUGGGGAUCAAACAGG
rnacentral:rRNA from 1 species